rnacentral:rRNA from 1 species
GACGAACGCUGGCGGCGUGCUUAACACAUGCAAGUCGAACGGAAAGGCCCUGCUUUUGUGGGGUGCUCGAGUGGCGAACGGGUGAGUAACACGUGAGUAACCUGCCCUUGACUUUGGGAUAACUUCAGGAAACUGGGGCUAAUACCGGAUAGGAGCUCCUGCUGCAUGGUGGGGGAUGGAAAGUUUCGGCGGUUGGGGAUGGACUCGCGGCUUAUCAGCUUGUUGGUGGGGUAGUGGCUUACCAAGGCUUUGACGGGUAGCCGGCCUGGGAGGGUGACCGGCCACAUGGGGACUGAGAUACGGCCCAGUCUCCUACGGGAGGCAGCAGUGGGGAAUAUUGCACAAUGGGCGGAAGCCUGAUGCAGCAACGCCGCGUGCGGGAUGACGGCCUUCGGGUUGUAAACCGCUUUCGCCUGUGACGAAGCGUGAGUGACGGUAAUGGGUAAAGAAGCACCGGCUAACUACGUG